rnacentral:rRNA from 1 species
AUGUAGGGUAUGGCUCUGGCUAUCGAGCAUUGUGGGCUACCUAUCAUUGUCCAGUCGGAUUCUUCUGUCGCCCUUUUCGCCCUGUCUAGCGACAGUUUAUCUAGAUCUGCGUACGGGCAUUUAGUCGCUGAGAUUAGUCAUCUUAUGGUAGAUAGAGUCUUUAUUCCCUCGAAAAUUAGUCGUGUACAAAAUAGGGUAGCAGAUCAUCUGGCCAUGUAUAGUCGUACAGAGAGAACUACUGCUGUAUGGCUUGGACGAGGUCCACCGUGUGUUGAGGAUCUCUUGCCUCGUGAUUGUAACCCUAUGCCUAUGAAAUAA